AUUGAACGCUGGCGGCAUGCCUUACACAUGCAAGUCGAACGGCAGCACGGGAGCAAUCCUGGUGGCGAGUGGCGAACGGGUGAGUAAUACAUCGGAACGUGCCCAGUAGUGGGGGAUAACCCGGCGAAAGCCGGACUAAUACCGCAUACGACCUACGGGUGAAAGCGGGGGAUCGCAAGACCUCGCGCUAUCGGAGCGGCCGAUGUCAGAUUAGCGAGUUGGUGGGGUAAAGGCCUACCAAGGCGACGAUCUGUAGCUGGUCUGAGAGGACGACCAGCCACACUGGAACUGAGACACGGCCCAGACUCCUACGGGAGGCAGCAGUGGGGAAUUUUGGACAAUGGGCGCAAGCCUGAUCCAGCCAUGCCGCGUGCGGGAAGAAGGCCUUCGGGUUGUAAACCGCUUUUGUCAGGGAAGAAACGCUCCGGGCUAAUACCACGGAGUAAUGACGGUACCUGAAGAAUAAGCACCGGCUAACUACGUG
rnacentral:rRNA from 1 species